rnacentral:rRNA from 1 species
UACGAAGGGGGCUAGCGUUGCUCGGAAUCACUGGGCGUAAAGGGCGCGUAGGCGGCCGAUUAAGUCGGGGGUGAAAGCCUGUGGCUCAACCACAGAAUUGCCUUCGAUACUGGUUGGCUUGAGACCGGAAGAGGACAGCGGAACUGCGAGUGUAGAGGUGAAAUUCGUAGAUAUUCGCAAGAACACCAGUGGCGAAGGGCGGCUGUCUGGUCCGGUUCUGACGCUGAGGCGCGAAAGCGUGGGGAGCAAACAGG